rnacentral:misc_RNA from 1 species
UGGCUCUGGCAUCGAUGAAGAACGCAGCGAAAUGCGAUAAGUAAUGUGAAUUGCAGAAUUCAGUGAAUCAUCGAAUCUUUGAACGCACAUUGCGCCCGCCAGUACUCUGGCGGGCAUGCCUGUCCGAGCGUCAUUUCAACCCUCGGGCCCCCCGCAAGGAAGGGCCCGGCGUUGGGGCUCAGGGGCCCUCGCGGCCUCUGCCCCCUAAAUUCAGUGGCGGUCGCGCCGCAGCCUCCCCUGCGUAGUAGCACACCUCGCACCGGAGAGCGGCUCGGCCACGCCGUGAAACCCCCCAUUUCUUCAAGGUUGACCUCGGAUCAGGUAGGAAUACCCGCUGA